CAGCAGCCGCGGUAAUACGUGGGGGGCAAGCGUUGUUCGGAAUUAUUGGGCGUAAAGGGCGCGUAGGCGGUUUGGCAAGUUUGGUGUGAAAUCUUCGGGCUCAACUCGAAGUCUGCAUCGAAAACUGCCGGGCUUGAGUAUGGGAGAGGUGAGUGAAUUUCCGGUGUAGCGGUGAAAUGCGUAGAUAUCGGAAGGAACACCUGUGGCGAAAGCGGCUCACUGGACCAUAACUGACGCUGAGGCGCGAAAGCUAGGGGAGCAAACAGGAUUAGAUACCCCUGUAGUCCCUGUCUCUUAUACA
rnacentral:rRNA from 1 species